rnacentral:rRNA from 1 species
CCUACGGGAGGCAGCAGUGGGGAAUUUUCCGCAAUGGGCGAAAGCCUGACGGAGCAACGCCGCGUGAGGGAUGAAGGCCUCUGGGCUGUAAACCUCUUUUAUCAAGGAAGAAGAUCUGACGGUACUUGAUGAAUAAGCCACGGCUAAUUCCGUGCCAGCAGCCGCGGUAAUACGGGAGUGGCAAGCGUUAUCCGGAAUUAUUGGGCGUAAAGCGUCCGCAGGCGGUCUUGUAAGUCUGUCGUUAAAGCGUGGAGCUUAACUCCAUUUCGGCGGUGGAAACUACAAGACUAGAGUGUGGUAGGGGCAGAGGGAAUUCCCGGUGUAGCGGUGAGAUGCGUAGAUAUCGGGAAGAACACCAGUGGCGAAGGCGCUCUGCUGGGCCAUAACUGACGCUCAUGGACGAAAGCUAGGGGAGCGAAAGGGAUUAGAUACCCCUGUAGUCCUAGCCGUAAACGAUGAACACUAGGUGUCGGGGGAAUCGACCCCCUCGGUGUCGUAGCUAACGCGUUAAGUGUUCCGCCUGGGGAGUACGCNCGCAGUGUGAACGUUAAAGGUAAGUUAGACGGCGUGAGACGUGCCGAACGGACGACCGACGAGGGAGGUAGG